rnacentral:tRNA from 2 species
GGAAGCGUAUCGAAGUGGUCAUAACGGCCCGCACUCGAAAUGCGGUAACGGGGUAACUCGUUCGUGGGUUCGAAUCCCACCGCUUCCGCCA